AUUUAAUUAGUUUAUGAAGAAUAAUAAUUUGUGGAAUUAUAGGUAUAAAUAUUUAUAUUAAAUC
rnacentral:tRNA from 1 species